AAUUAUUUCCGUUUAACCUGUCAGAUGAGUUUCUUAUGGCAAGAUCCUUCCUGUUGUCCGAUUGUAGUGUGCCCGGAGAGGCGUCCUUAUCGUCCGAGAGAGAACGAGUGAAUGAGAAACCGUCUCUACUCGUGGGUGGAAUGUCAGAAUUGAUUUGAUUACUGUCAGUUUCCUCUCGAUCUAAGUAAAACUUGGUAGGAAUUGGAUUCGGCUUCCAUUGACCGACUGAAGCCAUCUCACAAACACGUGUCAGGAAAACAUAAUAUCAACAGAGUAUGUACCAUUGGUUGUGUUGUUGUGUGGAUUCCUCUUUUCCGGAUACACCUCUGUUCUCCGCAAAUAUCAGACCGGUGACGUCACAGUAAAGCAAGUGCGAGCCAACCGACAGCGAAUAUUUUUUUAUUCAGAUAAAUAAAAUUACUUUAAAAAACUU
rnacentral:sRNA from 1 species